UGUGCUUUUCUAGAUCCAGAUGUCUAUUUUCUUCCCCAGGUUAGGGAAGUUUUCAGUCAUUAUUUCUUCAGGAAAGUUUUCUGACCCUUUCUCUCUCCUCUGGAACAUCUAUAAUGAGAAUGUUAAUCUGCUUGUUGUUCCAUAAGUUUCUUGAGCUAUCUUCAAUUUUUAAAGUUUUUCUUUUUGCUGCUCUGUUUGGGUGAGGUUUCAUUGCUCUGUCUUCCAGAUCACUGAUUCUUUCUUCUGUUUCAUCUACUUUGCUGUUGAACGUCUCUAGUGUAUUUUUCAGUUCUGUGAUUGUUAUUUGUUAUUCUUCAGAUCUGUGACUUCUGUUUGCUACUUAUAUUUUGAACUCUUUUUUAAAGUUCUAAUGUGUUUAUCCAUGGCCAUUACUUUGAACUCUUUAUCAGGUAAAUCACUUCUCUCUUUUUUAUUAAGUGGUUUUAGGGGGGAGGGGCAUAUCUUGUACUUUCAUUUGGAACAUAUUCUUUUGUCUUCCCAUUUUGCUUGACUCUUUUCAUUUCUGUGUAUUAGGCGAAACACCUGUCUCUCUCAGUCUUGGAUGAGUGGCCUGUAUAGAUGAUGAACUUUAUUGGUAACCUUACCCUUUGUUAUUUCUCAAAAUUUUGUGAUUGCCUAAGCAAUGUGAUUUAUUCCUGAUAGGCUACAGUUGUUGAGGGAGUCGCUAGCCUUUUGAGUCUUACAGAAUGUGGGAUCUCAGUCAGCCCCAGUUUCGAGCUAAUUGAAAACUUACCCCUCAGGCAGCUUUUAAGAUAUGCAAAUAUAUACAGUCCUGCGGGACCAUAAUCCUAAACCCUGCUGGCCUCCAGACCAAGCAAUGUGGUCAUUUCUGGGAGGAACAGGUGCGCUAUGGCAAGGCCAAGGGAGGACAAAAAGGUAAUGUUCCCUGGCCUACAUUCCCUGAGAGGAUGGCAUGUCCUUUAGGUAUGUAGUACCCAUCCAACUGAAGCUCCAGGACAAGUAAAUAAUCCUUUUUCACACAAGGUUGUGUUUUGGACUGCUAUCUCUGCAGUGUUCUAGAGGUAGUAGCCCACCAAGAACUAUCACUCCAAUGUUUCAGACCUGCUAGGACCAGAAACACAAUCAUCUCUGGCACCAGAGCCAGGUGCUCAAGGGGCAUCCCUGUGUGGGGUGUACCUACCUGUUCUAAGCAGGUUUGAGGGGAGUACAAAAAUGGCACCCACCAGUGCAUCUGUCCCUAGAGAGAGUCCUAACAACCCUUUGGCAGAUACUCUAAGAUUACCAAGUGAAUCUCAUUCAUAUAUGGUCUAGGUGCUUUUCAAACUGCUGCUUUUGUGCUGGGUCCCAGGGUGAGUGAGUCUGCAGGCAAGCCCUUUAAGAGUGGAAUCUCCAUUUCCUAUAGCCCUAUGUUCUUCUGGAUGUAAGCCCUGUUGUUUUUCAAAGCCACUUACUUUGAAAGCUCCUCAUCUCUCUGGUGUAGGUCCCCAGGAUUAAAGUGCCUGAUGUGAGGCACAUCAUGUUGCUCCACAAGGAGAAACUCCUUAUUUGUGACAUCCUUCCCAGUUGUGAGUUGCCACGACAGGGGAAGGGUGUUUGGUGAGACCCAUCUCUGCUUCUCCUACCUGUAUUGAUGUGGCCUAAUUAUCCGUUACUGUAGAGGAGAUGUUCAGCUAGUUUUAAGGUCUUUUUCAGGGGGAGUUAUUUCACAGUUGGCUGUAAAUUUGUUGUGUGGGAGAUGAGUUCAGGUCUUCCUAUGCUGACAUCUUAAACUGCCUUCCUCGGUAAUGUGGG